ensembl:snRNA U2 U2 spliceosomal RNA
AUUGCUUCUCGGCCAUUUGGCUAACAUCAACUGUAGUAUCUGUUCUUAUCAGUUUAAUUUGUGAUAUUAAAAAAGUACUAAAAUACUGGAAAGAAACAGCACAU